GACGAACGCUGGCGGCGUGCUUAACACAUGCAAGUCGAGCGGUAAGGCCCUUUCGGGGGUACACGAGCGGCGAACGGGUGAGUAACACGUGGGUGACCUGCCCUCAGCUCUGGGAUAAGCCUGGGAGACCGGGUCUAAUACCGGAUAUGACUCCAUGACGCAUGUUGUGGGGUGGAAAGCCUUGUGCGGCUGGGGAUGGGCCCGCGGCCUAUCAGCUUGUUGGUGGGGUGAUGGCCUACCAAGGCGA
rnacentral:rRNA from 1 species